rnacentral:rRNA from 1 species
CCUACGGGCGGCAGCAGUGGGGAAUAUUGGACAAUGGGCGAAAGCCUGAUCCAGCCAUGCCGCGUGUGUGAAGAAGGCCUUCGGGUUGUAAAGCACUUUCAGUGGGGAAGAAAGCCUUGGGGCUAAUACCCUCGAGGAAGGACAUCACCCACAGAAGAAGCACCGGCUAACUCCGUGCCAGCAGCCGCGGUAAUACGGAGGGUGCGAGCGUUAAUCGGAAUUACUGGGCGUAAAGCGCGCGUAGGCGGUCUGAUAAGCCGGUUGUGAAAGCCCCGGGCUCAACCUGGGAACGGCAUCCGGAACUGUCGGGCUAGAGUGCAGGGGAGGAAGGGAGAAUCCCCGGUGUAGCGGGGAAAUGCGUAGAGAUCGGGAGGAAUACCAGUGGCGAAGGCGGCCUUCUGGACUGACACUGACGCUGAGGUGCGAAAGCGUGGGUAGCAAACAGGAUUAGAUACCCGAGUAGUC